rnacentral:rRNA from 1 species
GACGAACGCUGGCGGCGUGCUUAACACAUGCAAGUCGAACGGAAAGGCCCUGCUUGCAGGGGACUCGAGUGGCGAACGGGUGAGUAACACGUGUGUGAUCUGCCCUGCACUUCGGGAUAAGCCUGGGAGACUGGGGCGAAUACCGGAUAUGGGCCAUUUUUAGGGUGAUGGUGGGAAAGUUUUUUCGGUGUAGGAUGAGCUCGCGGCCUAUCAGCUUGUUGGUGGGUUAAUGGCCUACCAAGGCGGCGACGGGUAGGCGGCCUGAGAGGGUGGACGGCCACAUUGGGACUGAGAUACGGCCCAGACUCCUACGGGAGGCAGCAGUGGGGAAUAUUGCACAAUGGGCGCAAGCCUGAUGGAGCGAAGCCGCGUGGGGGAUGACGGCCUUCGGGUUGGAAACUCCUUUCGCUAGGGACGAAGCUUUUUGUGACGGUACCUAGAUAAGAAGCACCGGCUAACUACGUG